UCCACGGGGCAUGCAAACUUCACUAUGAGAAAAAUAAAUAUUACAAGAGGAGAUCUCACCCUCAGCUCUCGUAUAUCCAAUUUCUUCCUUACAGAAAGUUCUCCUUCAUAAAAGCUCUCUCUCUAGGAAGACCCUCUGAACUCUUGAAGUGACUGCUGUUUCCUGUCCAGAAGCUUCUUUGCUCUUUCUCCUCUCAACGUCCUCACGCCUCUCUCUCUUCAUGGGUUCACUGUUUCCGCUGAAGAAAACCACACCGCGAGACCAACAGGCCACCACGAAACCUUCUGUUCAUGAGAUCAGCCUUUUAAAGGCUUAAAAAUGGGUAAGAUUAGGUUAAAAAAUCCUAAUGACACCCAAAUCAAGCCCCGGACUAUUGG
rnacentral:lncRNA from 1 species